CCUGGCUUAGGAUGAACGCUGGCGGCGUGCCUAACACAUGCAAGUCGAACGAAGCGUCCCGCCCGAAGAUGAGGAGUGCUUGCACAAAUUGAUUCAAUUGGGAUGACUUAGUGGCGGACGGGUGAGUAACGCGUGGGUAACCUGCCUUAGUACAGGGGGAUAACAGUUAGAAAUGACUGCUAAUACCGCAUAAGCGCACAGUAUCGCAUGAUACAGUGUGAAAAGCCGAGACGGUAUAAGAUGGACCCGCGUCUGAUUAGCCAGUUGGCAGGGUAACGGCCUACCAAAGCAACGAUCAGUAGCCGGGGCCUGAGAGGGUGAACGGCCACAUUGGGACUGAGACACGGCCCAAACUCCUACGGGAGGCAGCAGUGGGGGAUAUUGCACAAUGGGGGAAACCCUGAUGCAGCGACGCCGCGUGAGUGAUGAAGUAUUUCGGUAUGUAAAACUCUAUCAGCAGGGAAGAAAAUGACGGUACCUGACUAAGAAGCUCCGGCUAAAUACGUGCCAGCCGCCGC
rnacentral:rRNA from 1 species